rnacentral:rRNA from 1 species
UACGUAGGGUGCAAGCGUUAAUCGGAAUUACUGGGCGUAAAGCGUGCGUAGGCGGAUAUUUAAGUCAGGGGUGAAAUCCCAGAGCUCAACUCUGGAACUGCCUUUGAUACUGGGUAUCUUGAGUAUGGAAGAGGUAAGUGGAAUUGCGAGUGUAGAGGUGAAAUUCGUAGAUAUUCGCAGGAACACCAGUGGCGAAGGCGGCUUACUGGUCCAUUACUGACGCUGAGGUGCGAAAGCGUGGGGAGCAAACAGG